AGAACACAAGCGGAAUGUUACGAUGCGGAAAGUGUCUGGCCUAUUUUUUUCCAAUAUGUCACUUCGGCAUAAUUUUCCCAUUAGUUAUUCACGUCCUUUGUGUAAUCCGAAUUUGCCAGUAUAUCGACUCACGCUGGAAAAAAUAAGAGCAACAUAUAGUUUUCAAAUUCAUUUUCUUAAUCAGGUUAAUGACUAACUUAAUUUAAGUUCCUAAUCUGGAUUUGUUUAAGGCAGUUGAGUUGUGCGAUACGCUACGGAAGCAAGAAUAUAACAAGCUCUGCCUACAUACUGGUUUCCUAAAUGUGCCCACAGCUUUAUUUAAAUGUUUGCCGCCAGAAUGGAGUUUUCCGUUUUCAUAAGAGUUGAACUUUUCCAAACCAACAUUUUAUUUUUUAAAAAUCAGAGUAGAUUUCGUUAGAAGAAGCCAAAUUAUGCAUUUCUGGCAAGCCCCUCAAGAAAUUUGUUUUAAGCACCUUUGCUAAUCAUCAUGCAAGGAAAAGCCAAUUUAAGAUCAAGAAAAUUGUCUUGAAAUAUGAUAAGGUCGCUUCUUGUAACUAAUUUAAUUUUCUUUAAGAGCUAAAUUUAGGAAAGAAUUAUAUCAACCACAACAGA